rnacentral:rRNA from 1 species
AGCAGCCGCGGUAAUUCCAGCUCCAAUAGCGUAUAUUAAAGUUGUUGCAGUUAAAAGGCUCGUAGUUGAAUUUCGGAGUUUGUCGGUUGGUCGGGCUUCACUGUCCGCACUGGCCUGAUGGAUUCCUACCUUCUGAAUAACCAGCAUGCUAUUAAUUUAGUGCGUUGGGGAAGCAGAGCUAUUACCUUGAAAAAUUAGAGUGCUUAAAGCAGGCUUACGCUUGAAUAGAUUAGCAUGGAAUAAUAAAAUAGGACGGCUUGGUUCUAUUUUGUUGGUUUCUAGGAUCACCGUAAUGAUUAAUAGGGAUAGUUGGGGGCAUUAGUAUUCAAUUGUCAGAGGUGAAAUUCUUGGAUUUAUUGAAGACUAACUUCUGCGAAAGCAUUUGCCAAGGAUGUUUUCAUUAAUCAAGAACGAAAGUUAGGGGAUCGAAGACGAUCAGAUACCGUCGUAGUCUUAACCAUAAACUAUGCCGACUAGGGAUCGGACGAUGUAAUUUUUUAAUGACUCGUUCGGCGCCUUA